rnacentral:rRNA from 1 species
AUAUAUGAGAGACACUAGUUGAACUUGAGUAAUCUCAAAAUGAUAAGCAGGGCCAGUCCUUGUUAAUAUUUGGAUGGGAGACCACUAGGAAAUUCUAGGCUUGUAGGCU